CUGUUCCUAUAUCAUUUCAAACGCAAUCUUUAGAUUUAACAUUUAGACAAAAUAUUCUAGUCUAAUCCAGACUAGAUACCUAAUCAAAUAAUUUUCUCAGAAUAAUAUCAAUCUUUUUUUUUCGUUUAGCUAGUAUAUGUACUAACGGUAUAAGGUGUGAUCGUGACCAACACACUCUUUUUUGUCGAUGUCCUCGUUGAUUUAUUCAUCUUCGAAUAUAAGUCUUAAUCAUCCACGAGUGUAGAAACUUUAUUCUCGAAAACUCAUAGUCGAACAAGAACGACAACAAUGACAACAAUAAUAAUAACGAUAAUUGUCACGAUUAUGAAUGCGACGACACAACUGAGAUUUUUCCAAACUCUUUCUUGAUAUAAUUUCCAAGUCCUACGGAUCAGGUUUUUCUAACGAAUAGGGAGAAAAGUUCGAUCACGAUGUCGUUAGAUUCACAGCGUGUUGUUGCCAAUCUUGGAACUCGUUAAUCGUAAAAACCAAUUCUUGCCGGACUUCCUGAUACGUUCGAAGAAUCGGAAAAGGAAUGAACGAACGGUUAUUAUUUCACAAAGACACCGAGUGAGAUGACAUUUUCCGAUAAAGAUGUGUAUGUAUGUAUGUUUGUACGUAUAUAUAUUUCAGUCAAUGUAUAAAAGUACGUACAAGGCUACCUUGAAACCGAUCGCACAGCGAGCUCAGUCCUCGCGUAACUGAAAACAGACGCAACCGUUUCUUACGUCGCGCUCCUUCGUGUUCUUAUGUAAGAGCCACCUAUUAUUUUGCGCGUCUGCCGCAAUUCGCAAGAAACUGACAAUGCAAGAAGAUAGAAAGAGAGAAAGAGAAAAGAAAAAAGGAGAGAGAGAGAGAGAGAGAUAAAGAAAGACGAGUAAAUCGAACGAGAGGAAAAAGAGAUAGACUAGACGUCCGUUCGCACGCGUGGACAUCGAAGGACUGAGCUUGCUUAUCCGAUUAUUAUUACAAAUCGAUCGGUCUAAUACACUCACACAUACACACACGUAGAGAGUAUCCGACUCACGCUUCGAUAGCACCCAACUAGUCGACGAUAAGAAAAAGCAAUGACGAUAAUACGUUAAUAAGAGUCUCGUUAGACUGACUUUUACAUGCGUUUUCUCGACUUGCGUUAGAGUUAAGCACUGUUGUUAGAUUGUAAGGAAAGGAAGAAAGGUGUCGAUCGGUCUACCGAGUUUCACAGUCUCCUUUCUUUCUCUCUUUUAUUCAACUUUUUCUUUUUCUUUUUUCUUGCUUUUUUUCUGUUCUUUUUUUUUCCCUCUCUGAUCCUUUCCACAGCUGACUAUGAAAUCGAUGAACUCGGAGAAAGUCGUCGAGGAUGCUCCCGAGAGCGUGGCGGCUCGUUAAUCGCCGUAUUUGAUAGAAAAAUAGAAAGAGAAAAGAGUUCGAGUAAUUAUAACGAUCUCGUUAAUAAAGAUCGAUAGGAUCGAUUCUACCGAAUGGAUGAGACAUCAUCGAUCUCUAUGUUCAUACACUGUGUUCACCCAUCUACAUACGUACAUGUACACACGCACGCACACGCGUUAAGUUCAUUUUCAAGAUGUUAUUUACGCUUUUGACGUGAAAUAAUUAAUCACUGUAACGCUCGCGUAGAGUAUGCGAUACGAUAAAAGGAGAACUUCGUUUAUCGUCGAAUUUAUCUUUUCGAACGGAUCGUCGGUGGUCAGUUUGUCUUUCGCCGAUUGAAUUGAAAGAAUAAAUAAGAAAAGCGAAGGAAGAAAGAAAGAUAGAAAGGAAGACAGUGAAAAAGAGAGAAAAUGCGUGACAAAACGAUGCAAUGCUCGUGACUUUAAGGUGCAAACUACCUCGCUCUAUCUCGUGAACGUCGUUUCGACGGUACCAACGUCGCAACUAAAUAAUCGUAUCGCGAGGAAACCUGCAGAUUCAUCCAACCUGAACGGUGAGGCCAGGUACGAUGCCUCGGCAAACACCACAGCCAAGACGACCUUUCUCACCGACGAGUAUUCGGAUCCUAACUUCACUGUUUGAAACGGCUCCCACACCAGUCUCGUUGUACUGCAGCUGUUGUUGCUGCUGUUGCACCAUGUGCCAGCACGAGGACCUGCUGAUUUUUCACCAAAAGGGCAACUUCCUGAUGUACGGCAUCUUCAACUGGAUAUCCAUUUACCCUGAGGAUUUGAUCCCCUACCUAUAACGAAUAAGUACGAGUCAAUUAAAUAGAAAUUGAAUUAAUCUUCUUAAUCACAUCGUUUAAUUCGACCGACCCUCAAUCCGUUUCUAUGAGCUUCGCCACCAGGUUGAACGUUACUGAUGUAAAAUCCAGCAGCGUAUUCUCUACCACCUCGCAAUGAGAAGCCGAAACCGGAUGCACCUCGACGUCUCAAUCUAACGUUCCUGGUAACGCCGAUGACGGCCAUUCUGCCGCCUCCCACCGGAUUUCCAGGACCUGCACCGUUCGAUGAUCCCGUUCCAGCACUAGAUGCGCUGGAAGAGCCACCGGAUCUGUAAACAUCGAAGGAUGGAUCUUACCUGUUCUUACAUCAUAAACUUUUGCCUACAUGUAAAAGAAGAAACGAAUACUUAUAUAUAUUUUCGUAGGACGAACGUCCACUCCUCAGCGCUUAUCGAUGCAAAAUGUGGAUAUUCUUCGAUGGAUCCUCCACUCAAACACUUUACAGAAGGUUCAUCGUACGAUGAAAGGGUUUCUUUUCGUCUCGAUUCUUCCUCUCUUUGGAUGAGAGGAUUCUCGAAAGUGAUACACAAAGAUGAUAAGCUAGCCAAGCUAUUUUACUGUCUCUCUUUCUCCGACUUUUUUUCUUAUUUUUUAAAUAUCGAUUGAAUUCCUAAUUUCUUCGUACUUUUUAGAAAAGUCGAUAUGUCCGUUUUAUUAUAUGUUUUAGAUAAGAUCUCCACUUCGAUUUAAUUUUGGAUCUCGUUUAUAGCUAGCAUGUAUCUGUAUCUACGGGUUUGCGAUCGUUAAAGUCCAAUGGGAUCUUUUUAUCAUCGGCAACUUUCGUUUCUCCUUUUUCUACCUCCAUUUCAUCGUCGUUCGAACGUCGUUAAUCGGCAGAAAUAUUGACUCUGAAAGACGUCACGCCUUUCGAAUCGUCACGGAUAUCGCCAUGGCCGAGAACGUGGAUGGAAAACCGAUGGAAACGAGUAGCGGGAUCAUCGAUAGGUAAGUUAGAAUGAACAAAAGAGUUGGUGUAACGUAGGAUGAUUGUUAAAACGAUAUAUGUAUGCAUGUACGAACUUUCAUCGUCGAUCUUAUAACUGCAGUUUUAGAAUUUACAUACAUACCUAUGUAUAUUCUAGAAUACUUUAAAAUAUACAAUUAUCGCGUAUAAGAUAUAUAUAUUAUCAAUAUUUUUAAGAAUAUUCUAAGACGAAAUAUUAUAAUAUAAAGUAUAAAGUUUUAGUAGAUGUAAAAUUAGAAUAUGGUAUCAAAAAAAUAGUUAAAGAAUGUAUUAUAAAAUACUUUUUGAAUAUUUUAAUAUAUAUAUAUCUGUGUAUGGAUAUGUAAGACGUUCUUUUCGACGACACGCUAGUGCGUAAGAAAUGUGCGUGCACUUGAAAGAUUGAGAGAGAGAGAGAGAGAGAGAGAGAGAGAGAGAGAAAAAGAGAGAGAUGUGUGUCAGCGGGUCACUGACAUCCAUCAACGCCAACGAACUUCGACGUUUGCCUACUUCUUAUACGGCUAAUUUCUUUUCAUUAGGAAAAGCAUGCUACUCGACCGACCUAUCGAAGCAUCUUAUCCUUCCACGAAAAACUUCUCUCUUUCUUUCUCUUUCUGGAAAAGUCUUUUCCAUCGAUUUUCAAACUGCAAUCAUAUAAAAUACAUUCGCAUAGCUUUAGCAUAAGAUCUCUUAACCCUCUAUAACAUUAUGUAACUUUAAAGUUUCAUAUUUUUUACGAUUAUUACUUCAUAUUUGUAGUUUGAAUGUUUUUUAAGUAACACUUAUACUCACUGGCGAAUUUAGCCUUCAAGAGAUCCAAAGCGUUAUAUAUUUUUAGAGUCCCUUUUUUAAAAUAAAUCAAUUAUGCAAAAUAUAUACUUUCUCGCUUCAAUUGUUCAUGCAAAUGAUAAAGUGAAGAGUACAAAUUUGAUUAUAGUCGUAAAUAGAAAAAGAAAAAUUAUAUAUCGACCAUCAGAUAUUAAAUUGAAUUUAUUGUAUAACAUAAAUAUAUAUUAUCGUGUGCGGACCCUUGUCUUACGAAGCCCGAGGCGACCGCCUCCACUGCUAGUGGGUAAAUCCGUCUGACUGAUUAUACUUGCAAUUAGUAUAGAGAGUUUAAAGUAUAUAUAGUUUAGUUUAUUAAAGUUAAAUUUUCUAUGGUAUAAAUGCUAUACAAAAUAUAAUACUCGUACGUAUUAGUACAAAUUAUACGA